GGGUGGGCCCUAGAAAUCCUGUGGCGUGAGGAUUCAGUCUGGCGCGAUAGACCCGCGUCGGGAAGACUCGGGUAGGGCUUCCCGUGACUGGGGCCGUCUCGAUGCGGGGCUUCUGUCGCUCCAGACGCAUUUGUCUCUCGUCCGAAGGACGCUGCAGCCGGUUUGGAAGUGCAAGCGCGGCGGCCUGAAGGUCGGGUAAUGGCAGGUGGCCGGCGGCUCGCCUCGUGCGGGUUGUCGGUUGUUAGCCGUCCCGUCAGUGGCUCGUCUCCAGACCGAGGUGUCGCGAGUCCCGUCAGGGACUCUUCGUCUCCACCCCACGGUUGCGGGACUGGUCGUGGCAAGGGCUCCGUAUUCCCACCGUCGCACUACUAAGGAGUGGGCGGAGGGCUGCGGGUCCCCGUUGGCUGCGACGGACUCGUCGGGGGCUCGAGGCUGGCAGCGAGUAGGUCGGUCACCCACCCGACCCGUCWUGAAAMACGGACCAAGGAGUCUAACAUGUGCGCGAGUCAAUGGGUCUUGUACUAGGCCCAGGGGCGCAAUGAAAGCGAAGGAUUGCCUAGCGCAGUCUGAGUGGGGAUCCCUCUCCUUCGGGAGGGGGCGCACCCACGACCCGUCCUAUCCGGCUCGCCGGUUGGGCGGAGUCUGAGCGUACACGUUGGGACCCGAAAGAUGGUGAACUAUGCCCGGACAGGACGAGGCCAGAGGAAACUCUGGUGGAGGUCCGCAGC
rnacentral:rRNA from 1 species